rnacentral:rRNA from 1 species
AUGAUCCAAACGAUUGCCGGGGAGUGGAACCCGAACAUGAAGUCUGUUUUCGCGGGGGUAGGGAUGGAGCAGUUUUGCAAGCUCAAGGCUUUAGGCAAUAAUAAUCGCAUAUUUUCCAUGUCCCUGCUCGCUAGGAUAGAUCCCGAAACUAUGAAGAUGGACAUGGGGGACGGAAACUUUGUUGUGGUUGACUCCAGGGAGGUAGGAAAAUGCAUAGGAUUGAAUCCUAGCGGGGAAAAGAUCGAUAUCCGGGCUGGUUCUUGCUUGCCAGACCGGGAAGAGUUACUGGGGAAGUUGCAUGCCAUCUUAGAGACUGACAUGCCCAAAACAUGCAAGAUUCCGAUUGUGAGAGUUAAAAAGAUAGUGCAAAACGCUAGCAAAGUAGCAAUCGUGGGAGCGGAGAGAGAGAAAAUGAUGGCCGCGUGCACAAUCCUCGCAGCAUCCACAGUUCUUCUUCCUAGAGGAGCCCAUCCGAAGAUUUCGAAUGAGCUGUUGCCUGUUCUUGCUGAGCCGAACAAAAUAUCGGAAUAUGAUUUGUGUGACUAA